rnacentral:rRNA from 1 species
UACGUAGGGGGCAAGCGUUGUUCGGAAUUACUGGGCGUAAAGCGCGCGUAGGCGGUUACUUAAGUUGGAUGUGAAAGCCCUCGGCUUAACCGAGGAAGUGCAUCCAAAACUGAGUAGCUAGAGUACGAAAGAGGGUCGCGGAAUUCCCGGUGUAGAGGUGAAAUUCGUAGAUAUCGGGAGGAACACCGGUGGCGAAGGCGACUUCCUGGCCUGUUCUUGACGCUGAGGCGCGAAAGCUAGGGGAGCAAACGGG